AGAUGUGAGGGUGAUCUGGCUACAACAUCUGUCACCCCAUUGAUUGCCGGGGUUGAUUUGGCUGAUCUGGCUGAUUAGACGGGUGUCCCCUUCCUCCCUCACUGCUCCAUGUGCGUCCCUCCUGAGCUGCACGAUCAGUUGAAGAGAACAGCUUUCCCCUGAAUAGAGACGGAACAGUCUUAGGUCCAGGUUAUAUGAGUAGCUACGCUCCCCUGCUAGGACCUCCAGACAAGCUCUCAAGGUCCAUUUGUAGGUGAAUGUAGGAUAGUCAAGCUGCCAAGACUCCAGACACAUCCAAAUGAGGUGCUGAGUGUGGUAGUCUGCCUUUCUUU
rnacentral:snRNA from 1 species